rnacentral:rRNA from 1 species
UGGCGGACGGGUGAGUAAUGUCUGGGAAACUGCCCGAUGGAGGGGGAUAACUACUGGAAACGGUAGCUAAUACCGCAUAACGUCGCAAGACCAAAGAGGGGGACCUUAGGGCCUCUUGCCAUCGGAUGUGCCCAGAUGGGAUUAGCUAGUAGGUGGGGUAACGGCCCACCUAGGCGACGAUCCCUAGCUGGUCUGAGAGGAUGACCAGCCACACUGGAACUGAGACACGGUCCAG